CAAGAAAUAGUUUAAUGAGAAUGUUAAUUUUGGAGAUUAAUGGUAUAAAAAUAUUUAUUUUUUUGA
rnacentral:tRNA from 1 species